rnacentral:lncRNA from 1 species
AGUCACUGAACAUGAGAGGACAGAGGAGAAGGCUUUUCCUCCCCUAAAGUGUGAAUUAUAGUUUAACAUAUGAUAGUUAAAAAUUGUCCAGUCAUGUGGCUUUUGACAUUCAUAAAAGGUUAGUUUGAAUAUGGGAAGAAUUGUCAUACAAUCAGUGCAGGGAGUAAUAUUAACCAAGAGCAAGUCUUGUAGUUAGCUUUAUUUUAUUUCUUGUGUCUUGAUUUAAACAAUAAAAAUAAGAAGGCCAGUCAUCAUUUUUAAAAACCAUAUUCAUUUUACAGGGGGAAGUUUCCCAAUGAAUACAUAAACUUGCGAGCUUCAGGAGCAUCCAUCUCUUUUGAACCCUGACCCAUUUGAUUCAUAUUAGACUACGGGACCAUUUGGAAGAACAGGAAGGCAGUUUAGAGCUGUGCCCUGGAAAGCGCAUAAUUUCGUUUUCUUCACCACGGUUGCUCUGGAAGGAAAACUGAACACAAACCUCCUUCUUCUCUCCCUUUCCUUCCUUGUUGCAUCUGGUCAAUUCUAACAAACAUUACUAAUGACCAGGCUAUAUCGGCAUUACAUAGUCAAGUAGCCCAUUCAAUUUGCUCAAAAGAGCACAGACAUAAUCAGGCAUUUGGCUGAAUGAACAAUUCCUACUGAAUAGGGCAAAUAUUUGGAUUCAAGUAUAGGUCAGCAGCAACCAAUUGAAAUAUUGAUAAAGGAAGCCUGUGGGAACUAAAUGUACAUAAAAGAAAGAAAGAAGGAAAGAAAAGAAAGAAGGUUCUCAAGGGGUGAGGCAGGGCAACAAGACCACAGGGGGCGAUCUGUGUCCCCCACAAGAAGGUAGGUGGCUUAGCUGGGGAGGUGAGCAGAGCCGUGGCUGACAGCCUGUGAUUCUAGCUGCAGGAAGCACUGUGUUUGAACUGUUUUGUGUAGUUUCAAAGUAUAAUUCAUAAUCUACUACAAAAUACCAUAAAACUUUCUAAUGGGAAUCCCCCUGCCCCUGCCCACCUGACUUUAUUUAAAAAGAGAACUAGGCUAAAGUCUCUUUGUGGGUUUUUAUAUUGUCCUAUUCAGAGGUCAGGUCUCACCAAGGCUGGUUUUGCUGGCUUGAAAACACCUCCCCCAGAGCACUGAGGAAUCUCUGGUAACCUGCUUGCCUCCAACUCCCACCAUUCACUCACCCGUGAGGCUUAGCAAAUCCAGAGCUCUGUUGCCCAAAGUCAAUGCUGGCCACACUCACAGCCAUUUAUAAUGCCUUGCUUUAUGGGUGGUUUAAUUGUCAAGCAUCCCCUCUGCAUGUGGGCAUUCACGUGCCCCAGUGCCACACUCAGCCACCUUCCAGGAAUGUGCCGUUCCC